GACGGAGGAUGCAAGCGUUAUCCGGAAUCAUUGGGCGUAAAGCGUACGUAGGCGGCUUAUCAAGUCUGGGGUCAAAGACCACAGCUUAACUGUGGAAAGGCCUUGGAAACUAGUGAGCUGGAGUGAGGUAGGGGUUGCGGGAAUUCCCGGUGUAGCGGUGAAAUGCGUAGAUAUCGGGAAGAACACCUGAGGCGAAAGCGCGCGACUGGGCCUUAACUGACGCUGAGGUGCGAAAGCGUGGGGAGCAAACAGG
rnacentral:rRNA from 1 species